GACAGAGGGGGCAAGCGUUGCUCGGAAUCACUGGGCGUAAAGGGCGCGUAGGCGGGAUGGCAAGUCGGUCGUGAAAUCCCUGGGCUCAACUCAGGGGGGUCGGCCGAUACUGCCGUUCUUGAGGGAUGCAGAGGAGACUGGAAUUCCCGGUGUAGCGGUGAAAUGUGUAGAUAUCGGGAGGAACACCUGUGGCGAAAGCGGCGCACUGGACCACAACUGACGCUGAGGCGCGAAAGCUAGGGGAGCAAACAGG
rnacentral:rRNA from 1 species